AUUGAACGCUGGCGGCAUGCUUUACACAUGCAAGUCGAACGGUAACAGGGAGCUUGCUCCGCUGACGAGUGGCGAACGGGUGAGUAAUGUAUCGGAACGUACCCAAGAGUGGGGGAUAACGUAGCGAAAGUUACGCUAAUACCGCAUACGAACUAUGGAUGAAAGUGGGGGACCUUCGGGCCUCAUGCUCCUGGAGCGGCCUAUAUCUGAUUAGCUAGUUGGUGAGGUAAAGGCUCACCAAGGCGACGAUCAGUAGCUGGUCUGAGAGGACGACCAGCCACACUGGGACUGAGACACGGCCCAGACUCCUACGGGAGGCAGCAGUGGGGAAUUUUGGACGAUGGGGGCAACCCUGAUCCAGCAAUGCCGCGUGAGUGAAGAAGGCCUUCGGGUUGUAAAGCUCUUUUGUCAGGGAAGAAACGGUGCGGGCUAAUAUCCCGUGCUAAUGACGGUACCUGAAGAAUAAGCACCGGCUAACUACGUGCCAGCCGCCGCCGUAA
rnacentral:rRNA from 1 species